rnacentral:rRNA from 1 species
UACAGAGGCCCCAAGCGUUAGGCGGAAUCACUGGGCUUAAAGCGCGUGUAGGCGGCUCGGAAAGUCGGAUGUGAAAGCCCUGGGCUCAACCUAGGAAGUGCAUUCGAAACUUCCGAGCUGGAGUGCUGGAGAGGAAGGCGGAAUUCUCGGUGUAGAGGUGAAAUUCGUAGAUAUCGAGAGGAACACCGGUGGCGAAGGCGGCCUUCUGGACAGCCACUGACGCUGAGACGCGAAAGCGUGGGGAGCAAACAGG